AGAGUUUGAUCAUGGCUCAGGACGAACGCUGGCGGCGUGCCUAAUACAUGCAAGUCGAGCGGAGUUAUUCCUUCGGGAAUAGCUUAGCGGCGGACGGGUGAGUAACACGUAGGCAACCUGCCUGUAAGAUCGGGAUAACUCACGGAAACGUGUGCUAAUACCGGAUAAAUAAACUUCUCGCAUGAGGAGGUUAGGAAUGA
rnacentral:rRNA from 1 species